rnacentral:lncRNA from 1 species
ACUUACAUGAUAACUUUCAGACUGAUGACUGUUACCAUCUAACCACAAUGGACAUCAAGGGAAAUAUUUUGUCUUGAGAAUGUUUGGUAUUUUCUUUUUAUGCAAUUAUGAAAAGCACCACAGACUAUGUCUAAUUUUGUUUCGCUACAUUGGUUCAUUUCGUCUUCCGCAUUCAUAACGUAAAUGUUUGCAUCUUGUCUGAAAGUCGAUUUCCUGGUUUAAAAGAAGAUGUUUCCAAAGUGUUUUUAUUCUGCGAUGUUGGUUGUCGUGUCCUUACAAUUGAAAGGUACAAGUCUUUUUGUGAUCCUGCAUUUAUAACGUGCUGAAUUAACCAUAAGAGCGAUAGAGAUUAGAGUUCGUAUCUACAAUGCACUGUAAUUUCAAGAGAGUGAAAAUUAAUUAUCUCAAAAGAGUCGUUCUGGAGUCGAACGACUUUUGGGGUCAAACUCGACUCUGGAAAUAAUAGUGUACACUGUCAGAUGCCGUUUACAAAUUUCAAAUUCAUGCAAAAUCAUUGGUCACGGUUUAAAAUCAUCAGAACAUACCUAAUUGUAUGAAUUUAUCACUGCACAUUUCAUAAGCCAUAUAGAGAGUCUGCCAGUCCGGAGCUCAAGACAACUGAAUCUAUUGGUAUAUCCCCAUGUAUGAAGGAAUAUUUUACGAGCAACACACUGAAAAUCCAUGUCUGCCACAAAUAAGAAUCUGUGACAGGAAUUUUUUAACUGAGCCAGUGUUGUAUCAGAGAAAAAUAGAAAAUGGUCUACAACUAAAUUAUAGAAUAGAAAACGGGUGGAUUUGAUCGCUUUUAUUGCGCGCAUUGUUUAAUUUAAAUAUUUUUAGUUAUACAUUACUGUAAUUGAAUUAAGAAUUUCUCGCAGCAAAUGUUAUCGCUGCACGUUUUUAGUGUUAUAUACCAUAGCAGACCUUAUCAUUGCGGCACUAAAAUUAGGUAUACAUGAUUUCACUUGCGUUCAUGAUAUAACGUGAAUAGGCCUAUAACGUUAACCAAAUUAAGAGAUUUAUAAAUGCUGACUUACACUGUCAAAGUUUGUGUUAAUAUGGUACACUUUCUAAUAUAAUUUGAUGAGCCGGCCACAGGAAUGUUUUACAUGAGCUAUGAAAGAAUAAAAUAAACACAAAUUCUUGAAUAAUUGGUCACCGGGAAAAUAUGAUUAGAACCGAUAUUUACCGAGCGCAAUGACACUGAAUCUGUGAAUAAAAUCGUACAGAGAAUACAGUAAGAGACCAGUAAUUUAUUUUUGCAUUGUUUUUCAGGUACAGCUUGUUUCUUUGUGAAACGGUUGUUGAGCUAUGGCUAUGGCUCUACCUCAGGCUCAGGACGUUGUAUGAGCGACACAGGUCAAAUACAGUCGAGCGGCAGUUGGGGGAACUUGUCUUUUCUGGAAUUUUCCGACAACAGCUGUCUGGAUCCAGCUGCUCAGUUUCGGUUUCGUGAUAAUGGUGCCAUGUUGAAUCUAAAAAGACAGGGAUGUCUCGCUGCUUUUAAUAGGAAUGGUUCUGUUUAUGAUCUUGAUAUGUUUUAUCUUUACGUUGACUCAGUCAGUUUAGAUACAGCUGCUUGUGCUCAGAAGCCUAACGAGAGCAUCUAUCGUGCUAUAACCCAGACCCUCGAAGGAGGAUUAUCUGUUUAUUAUAAAGGGAAAGAUAAGAGUUCAUUUCAAACCUGGUGUGCAUCGUGGGCAUAUAAUUCACAAUUUUAUAAAAAUUAUGGAAUAAAUCGCUACAUGGGAUUGUCGACACGAUGUCAU